UUCGCCUUCUCCCGUAGCCGCAGCCGUUCUUCUCCCGCAACACCUGCCUUCCUCCCCUCUUCUCCGUCUCCGCAUCUCCCCGAUCCCGAGCGCCCGCCGCCGGUGAGCCACGCCGCCACCUUGCCUCAGCGCCUCCGCGGGCCCUCCCGCCGGCAUGGGCGUGCGACCAAGUCGCGCGGCAUGCCGUCGGGGGCUCCGCUGGAGCGUUUUCUCCAAGGCAGCGGGUGCCUGAGCACACGGCGCGGCCGGCCGACGACCGGCGACGGCGAGCCUGAGCUGAAGCUCGCCGAGGUGUUUUCGGCUUCGGUUGCGGCGGAUCUGACGCCGCAGUUCGGUCACGGUGAGUAGACCAAGACGCACCCGUGCCCACGCCACGACCAAGUCAUGUGCGCGCUGAUGGCCGGUGCGGUUCGGCGGAGAGGCACGUCGGCGUCCAUGCGGACCGGCCAUGAUGCCACGCGCGGCCGUCGUGCUCUGAGCGAAGAUCGACAGAAUUAUUAGUGCCCAUGUCUCCGGGCCACCGAUCUUCACGGGUUCUGUUGUGUAGCUGAUCCCGAAACAAAGCCAAGCCAAGAUGGUGGGAGAUGUUCGAUAAUGAACCCUGAACAUGUCAGAGUUGGUUGGCAGUGUUGUCAGAGUUGGUUGGCAGUGUGGUUACUACUGGUUAGCUGGCAGCUGGGUUUCCUUUCGAGUGAAACUCAUCGAGUUCAAGUUUCUAACUUAGGGGUGUUUUUAUUACGGUCACAUCGGAUGUCGAUGCUAAUUAAAAGGAUUAAAUAUGAGUUAAUUACAAAUCUAAUUGCACAGAUGGAGUUUAAUUCGCGAGACGAAUCUGUUAAGGCUAAUUAAUCCAUCACUAGCAAAUGGUUACUGUAGCACCACAUUGUCAAAUCAUAGACUAAUUAGGCUUAAUAGAUUCGUCUCACGAAUUAGAUUUCAUAUGUGCAGUUAGUUUUUGUAAUUAGAUUAUGUUUAAUAUUCCUAAUUAGUAUCAAACAUCCAAGGUGACAAGCGCUAAAGUUUAGCAUGAGGUUUCCAGACACCCUCUUAGUAGGAGUAUGUUUUUUUUUGCAACGAAAUGAGAGAUUUAUUGAAGCUUAUACAAAGGCAUUACAAACUAGCACACGGAUAAAGUCUGGAGCAUCAACAAAAUACAUACGACUCUACCUCAGUCUAGUUGCAAUGCAAGAUGUGCCAACUCGUGCAUGUGGCUAUGUCCGCCGUCCGCGGCACGAUCGUGUAUCGACGGGUGAUUCUCGACAUCUGCUGUGUAUGUGUGCGGUGAUCUGCCGAAGGCAGACGUUAGCCUUUAAAAAGAGGGGAGUGUAAUACCCAGCUCAAUAUACAACUGUAGUUGAAAUUGGUUGUCCUUUCAAA